rnacentral:lncRNA from 1 species
GCCACAUGGGAUCUUUUUUUCCUUGAAAUGUAACUUUUCAAGAGAUGCGACUGAGCAACACACUGGAGAUCUCCACCUCCUCUGAAGCACCUCAGAACAGCCGUAGCGGGGGAAGGGAGGGUGGCGGAUGAAAAAGAAGAAGAGAUCAGAUGGCAACACCUGAGCUUGCCGCCCCACGUGGCUCUCCAAGCUGCAAGACACUGGCGGGGGCCGAGGGACGUGUCCCAGAUUCAGCGGGGAGGUUAAAUAUCUUGCCCAAGACCAGUUCAGCAGUCCUCCUGCAACCUGCAGCCUUAAGGUGAAAAGAAUACACAAAGGAAGGAAGGGAGGGCAGCAGGCAAUGCAAUGGCAAGAGUUGCUGCCUUACAACUGAAGAACCCAGCUUCAAAUCCCUCCACCUGAUGUAAUACCCACGAGAAAGGUACUUACCCUCAGCUGCUUCCGUUAAAAAAAUACCCAGCCGUGAUAACAGGUUAAAAAUUCAAAGUUGCUUAGUGCAGUAUGGUUAAGAUUUUAAAUUGCUUUAAAGGAACCGUGAGCUAGAUCAAUAAAAAUAAUAUGAAGAAUCUUGAUUUAUACCA